GGCUCUGGCCUGCAGUGAAGCUUCUGCAGUUUGCACUGCAGGUGGAAACUCUUCUUGUUUUCCUAUGGCAAGGCAAAAUUAAGCCUGGGGUAAGGAUCUGGGUCUUUUACUAAGUGCCCCUUGGAAGCCAACAGCUUGCUCUCUGAUCUUGCUGGACAAGCUCCUCACCUAAAGAGCAAGGAAGCAAACUGAAAUCAGCACAAAGCAGAACAGUAGCUCCCACAGAGAUGAAAGGACCUUCUUGUUGGGGCGUUUAAGCCCAGAUCAGACCAAGGUCUGGAGAGAACACAGCUGCUGCAGAGAGGUCAGGGAUUUCUUCUGCCCUUUGUUCCUCUCCUUUUCCUGCAACCCCACAGCAGAGAGCAAACAAGGCAGUGAUAUACAGCAUCGUGGGAGCAGCAAGCACGCUCUAUGGCAUCCCAGUGAUGCCGUAUGCCUUGAACAGGACACAAAACCCAAACAGCUGGUGGUCUUACUGAUGCCUGGAGCAGCAUGGUUCCCUGGGUGGGUGUCUGGGAACAGACCCAUCAGCUGCAGUCAUCACGGCCUUGGGGACCGUAAUUCUGAUAUGCAGGAAGGGCUGCAGUGCUCAAAGAAUGAGUUACAGGAUUGCAGGCAGUGAUCUGUAGCAAACAUGACAGUACUGGAUGACUGCUUUGAUCUGUGCAGGACAACACUGCCAGCAGGAAGAGAUUUACUGAUCUUACAGAGCUAUUCCGCUGGCCCACUUCUGGUUCUCUUCUGUCGCAGUGGCAUGAAGUUUAAUGGAAGCCUGCACACCCUCAUUGCAAAUGGAGAGUUCUGUGGAUACAUUACAUAUUGCCAGCCUUUCUUAGAAGUCUGCAAGGUCAUCCUAUCACAUUUAUGGGGCUAAGCUUUGCUUCAGGACCCUCUCUUUCUUCCUAACCCAAACAGAACAAAAUAAAGUUGCUUUGGGAUAAGACCAACACGACAGGACACGAAAAAUGCAUCACUGUCUGUGCUCAGUGCCAUGACUGCUUGCUGUGCUCUCGCUUUGUUUCGAACGUGUGCUCAGAAAGCUAAGACUGAUUUCACCCACGUACCUCUGGAAGCCCCUCAAUCACCAGCAGACUCAUAGCUAAAAGGGUAACGAUGUAUGAACCAUCUGGGGACUGUGCGUGGGUCCGUGUCCUCUCCUUCAAGGAGGCUGAAGGAUGUCUGUGCUUCCCACAAGAAGAAAUCACUAUCCAGCAAGCAAAUAGGUAUUGGAAAAAAGAUUUCAGCCCUGUAUCAAUGGAUUGCAGAGUGCGGGGGAAGCUCCCUUUGGCUGUGUUUAAGGAGAAGAUGCAGU